CUGAGCUUUGAGCCUCGGUUUGCGCGGCUGCAAGUGGGUGUAGGCAGGCGGCGGACCCGAUUUCCCCGACUCCGCGCCGUGCGCGGGCGAGGCUGGCGGCACCUGGCCGGUGCAGAGUUAGCGCAGCAGGCGGUGAGCUUCAUGAGGUCAGCACCCACGUCUUCUUGGUCCAUCGCCCUGCAGACCCGGCCCCGCCAGCACGCGGUGUGAAUGGUACCUCAUGUGCCUUAGGUGAACAGCACAUUAGAAACCAAAACUGUGGGGCUUCCCUGGUGGCGCAGUGGUUGAGAGUCCACCUGGCGAUGCAGGGGACGCGGGUUCGAGCCCUGGUCCGGGAAGAUCCCAUGCGCCGCGGAGCAGCUAAGCCCUUGCGCCACAACUACAGAGCCUGAGCUCUAGAGCCCGCAAGCCACAACUACUGAAGCCCGCGUGCCUAGAGCCCGUGCUCCGUAACAGGAGAAGCCACUGCAACGAGAAGCCCAUGCACCACAAUGAAGAGUAGCCACCGCUCGCCACAACUAGAGAAAGCCUGUGU